GAUGAACGCUGGCGGCGUGCCUAAUACAUGCAAGUCGAGCGAAUUGAUUAGAAGCUUGCUUCUAUGACGUUAGCGGCGGACGGGUGAGUAACACGUGGGCAACCUGCCUGUAAGACUGGGAUAACUUCGGGAAACCGAAGCUAAUACCGGAUAGGAUCUUCUCCCUCAUGGGCGAUGAUCGAAAGAUGGUUUCGGCUAUCACUUACAGAUGGGCCCGCGGUGCAUUAGCUAGUUGGUGAGGUAACGGCUCACCAAGGCAACGAUGCAUAGCCGACCUGAGAGGGUGAUCGGCCACACUGGGACUGAGACACGGCCCAGACUCCUACGGGAGGCAGCAGUAGGGAAUCUUCCGCAAUGGACGAAAGUCUGACGGAGCAACGCCGCGUGAGUGAUGAAGGCUUUCGGGUCGUAAAACUCUGUUGUUAGGGAAGAACAAGUACGAGAGUAACUGCUCGUACCUUGACGGUACCUAACCAGAAAGCCACGGCUAACUACGUGCCAGCCGCCGCCGUAAUAC
rnacentral:rRNA from 1 species